CACUCAAGCAGGAAAUCCACAGCUAAAGCACUUCUGACAAGUCGCCAUCUAACUUCUUUGUUGAAACUUCUAGUGAAGGAGCACCCAAGGGAAUCAAUUCCAUUGUCAAAUAGCUUUUACUGUCAAGAACUUCUUCCUAAUAUUUAUGCAGCAUGUCCCUUCGUGUCAUUUGAAGCAAUAACUUUGGGUCCCACCUUCUGCAACUAUGGAAAACAUGCCUGUUCCCUCUUGCUUAACAGUCUAAUGACAUCCCCUAAUCGAUUUGCCAACCUCUGAGACAGCAAUAUGGUUGUUUAUUAGUACUCCUACAGUUAAUUAUGGGCUAGGGUCUAACUGGCAAAAUGUUAAGCUCCCAAAGAUUGCCAGCUCUUCAUAGGAUGUACAGCUCCUUUACUCUUGUUGUGACUAGUAUGCUUAGGUAAACAUGGAGUGAGAUCCACAAAUGAAGGCACAAAACACAGUAAAAGAAAAUAAAUGAACUUCCAACACAGUGCAAUACAAUGAGGAGAUGAAAAGUGCAAAUCUGGAUUAAACUAUCAAAUGAAAUUAUGAAGUUAUGCAAAA